rnacentral:tRNA from 2 species
GGGCGGUUAGCUCAGUUGGCUAGAGCGCCUGCUCGACAAGCAGGAGGUCGUUGGUUCGAGCCCAAUACUGCCCACCA